GUCCUGACUUUUCUAUCAGUUCUAACACAACUUACACAUGCAAGUAUCCGCAGCCCUGUGAGGAUGCCCUUAAUCCCCAGCCCGGGGACGAGGAGCAGGCAUCAGGCACCAACAUUUUAGCCCAAGACGCCUUGCCACGCCACACCCCCAAGGGAAUUCAGCAGUGAUAAAUAUUAAGCCAUAAGUGAAAACUUGACUUAGUCAGUGUUAAGAGGGCCGGUAAAACUCGUGCCAGCCACCGCGGUUAUACGAGAGGCCCUAAUUGAUAAAUACCGGCGUAAAGGGUGGUUAAGGAGAGCAAAAAUAAAGCCAAAGGGCCUCCUGGCCGUCAUACGCUUACUGAGUGUCCGAAGCCCAAAAACGAAAGUAGCUUUAACAUAGCCCACCUGACCCCACGAAAGCUGAGAAACAAACUGGGAUUAGAUACCCCACUAUGCUCAGCCGUAAACCUAGACGUUACACCACAACAAACGUCCGCCAGGGUACUACGAGCGUUAGCUUAAAACCCAAAGGACUGGCGGUGCCUUAGACCCCCCUAGAGGAGCCUGUUCUAGAACCGAUAACCCCCGUUAAACCUCACCAUUUCUGGUUAUUCCCGCCUAUAUACCGCCGUCGUCAGCUUACCCUGUGAAGGAUUAAUAGUAAGCUAAAUGAAUAUACUCCAAAACGUCAGGUCGAGGUGUAGCGCACGAAGUGGGAAGAAAUGGGCUACAUUUUCUAAGUUAGAAUAUUACGGACAGCAACCUGAAAAAUUACUCAAAGGAGGAUUUAGUAGUAAAAAGGAAAUAGAGCGUCCUUUUGAACUCGGCUCUGAGGCGCGUACACACCGCCCGUCACUCUCCCCUGUCACACAGCGACAAAUGUUCUUAACACCAAAGCACUGACAAGGGGAGGCAAGUCGUAACAUGGUAAGUGUACCGGAAGGUGUACUUGGAUCAAAUA
rnacentral:ncRNA from 1 species